rnacentral:lncRNA from 1 species
UCUUCUCAUUCUCAGCCAAUAACUCCUCUUGAUAUACCUCUGUGUGAACUAGGUUUCACUCCGUGUUUCCAAGUCGUGAGUCAAAGUUCCUGAAUCUCCACAUCCUUCUGCUCUAUAGUUGCCUAACACAUCUUAGCUAACUCCUUCAGUUCCUCAAUCUUAUCUUGUAAUUCUCUAUUAUGAUCAUAUAGCUCAUUAUACAUCUCAGCUGAUAUGGAGUUUGGUUGAAACUCUA